rnacentral:rRNA from 1 species
GAUGAACGCUAGCUAUAGGCUUAACACAUGCAAGUCGAGGGGCAGCACAGUGUAGCAAUACACGGGUGGCGACCGGCGCACGGGUGCGUAACACGUAUCCAAUCUGCCCGUUACUCGGGGAUAGCCUUCUGAAAGGAAGAUUAAUACCCGAUGGCAUGUAUUUCCGGCAUUGGAUAUACAUUAAAGAUUUAUCGGGAACGGAUGAGGAUGCGUACGAUUAGCUGGUUGGCGGGGUAACGGCCCACCAAGGCGACGGUCGUUAGGGGUUCUGAGAGGAAGGUCCCCCACACUGGAACUGAGACACGGUCCAGACUCCUACGGGAGGCAGCAGUGAGGAAUAUUGGUCAAUGGUCGAGAGACUGAACCAGCCAAGUAGCGUGAAGGAUGACUGCCCUACGGGUUGUAAACUUCUUUUGUUUGGGAAUAAAGUGAGGCACGUGUGCCUUUUUGUAUGUACCUUACGAAUAAGCAUCGGCUAAUUCCGUGCCAGCAGCCGCGGUAAGAC